rnacentral:misc_RNA from 1 species
GUAAGCUUGCACGACAAAGUAAAGCCCUAUAACUAUCCGAAAUAGCUAGAGUAAAUGUGGCAGAUAGAUGAGGUGAAAGUGCGUGUU